GAUGAACGCUGGCGGCGUGCCUAAUACAUGCAAGUCGAGCGAACAGACGAGGAUCUUGCUCCUCUGACGUUAGCGGCGGACGGGUGAGUAACACGUGGAUAACCUACCUAUAAGACUGGGAUAACUUCGGGAAACCGGAGCUAAUACCGGAUAAUAUAUUGAACCGCAUGGUUCAAUAGUGAAAGACGGUUUUGCUGUCACUUAUAGAUGGAUCCGCGCCGCAUUAGCUAGUUGGUAAGGUAACGGCUUACCAAGGCAACGAUGCGUAGCCGACCUGAGAGGGUGAUCGGCAACUUUGGAACUGAGACACGGGCCAGAAUCCUACGGGAGGCAGCAGUAGGUAAUCUUCCGCAAUGGGCGAAAGCCUGACGGAGCAACGCCGCGGGAGUGAUGAAGGUCUUCGGAUCGUAAAACUCUGUUAUUAGGGAAGAACAAAUGUGUAAGUAACUAUGCACGUCUUGACGGUACCUAAUCAGAAAGCCACGGCUAACUACGU
rnacentral:rRNA from 1 species